rnacentral:rRNA from 1 species
UACAGAGGUCUCAAGCGUUGUUCGGAUUCAUUGGGCGUAAAGGGUGCGUAGGUGGCGUGGUAAGUCGGGUGUGAAAUUUCGGAGCUUAACUCCGAAACUGCAUUCGAUACUGCCGUGCUUGAGGACUUGAGAGGAGACUGGAAUUUACGGUGUAGCAGUGAAAUGCGUAGAGAUCGUAAGGAAGACCAGUGGCGAAGGCGGGUCUCUGGACAGUUCCUGACACUGACGCUGAAAGUGCGAAAAGCUAGGGGAGCGAACGGG